AGGGACUUAGGAUUAAUACAAACCGAGAGCCUUCAAAGCCCUAAACAAGAGCAAUACCCUCUUAGCCCCUG
rnacentral:tRNA from 1 species